rnacentral:lncRNA from 1 species
UCCUUAUUAUGCCAAGCCAAUACUUGGCUUUGUCCUUAAGUGAGAAGGGGAAUAGAGUCAGUCUAAGUGCAUCAUUAGUAAAAUUUUGAAUCUUCACUAUGGAAUAGAUUUUUAAGAACUUAUCUAGAUGCUUGUAAGGAUCUUUAUUGGUGUUUCCAUAGAAAGAUGAGAGCAUCUAGAUUGUGGUCGACUUGAUCUCAUAAUGACUUAUAGGGAUAUCAGGUAAGUGGAUACAAAUUGAUGGGUUAUAGG